AUUGCUUCCUGCAUAAAAUCAUUUAUCCUUUUUUUUUUUAAAGGAUAAAUUGUACUUCAUCCUCUAUAUGUAGCUCGAUUGGGAUUUGUCACAAUGCAUAAAUAUCAUCAUUUUGCCUCACUAGUCUAUUAAUUUUCUGUCAGAUCAUAUUUGAGUUGGCAUGUUUGCUUCCGAUGAGUCCAUUUUUUAAUACUCACCAUUCAACUUAUAAGUGUUAUGAAUUUCUCCUCCACUCUGUUUUGUUUUUUUGUCCUGUUUAGUUAAUCACUAAAUUUAAAUUGGGCCUAAAAUUUAACCGUCGGUUCUGAUCGAUACACAUGUAUCGAAUGUAUUUAAUUUGAUUGGAAAUUAGUAAAUUAUAGGAUAAUCUGAUUAUUUUUGUAAGAUGAGGAGAAACUCUAAAUUCAGUGAUCGUCAAGGGGUUAAAAUUGUAGAUUUUCUUUUUCUCUGGGUUUAUCAUCUGAACAGUUGUCUUUUUCUGGAAGAAUAAGUGGGGAGUAAAUGUAAAAAGUAUUAAACAGAACCUGGAGAUCCUGAAGCUGUGGAAAAUAGCCCCAUUAAUGAGUUUUAAACUAUUGAAACUUUUUAGUGGGGGCAAGGAAUCUGUAUCCCGGUUAGUUGACAUUUGACACCAUGCUUGCAGCAAAUGUAGAAACAAAAUGCAACCUUAGAUGGGGCCUUUCUGCCGCCAAGACCUUCUCUUUGAUGACCUACAUUUUAUACUAAUUUUCUUCCUACAGUAUCCCCCCGUAGAAUCUGAGCCACUUUGUAGAAGUGCUUGUCUGAAUAAUUACACAAAAUGUGUGCUGAAAACAUGUACCAGGAGCAAGUUUAUUAUUAUCAUGUUCUGCUGAAGUGUCCUGAAGAACGGCAAAUAUAAUAGGAAACUGCUAGUUGUUGUACUACUGAUUUUAUCUAGUUCCCUUUUAAUUGUUUCUAAGUUAUGCAUCUA